rnacentral:lncRNA from 1 species
CUCUGGGAGUGUCAGUCCCAACCUCAGCUUUCAUGGGGAAGAAAGUGAGCUCAAGAUUCAACAGCACCAGGCAGGUUCCUUCGGGAAGUUUUAAGGUGAUGGCGGCGGAGAAAGAGAUAGACGAAGAGACACAGACCGAAAAGGACCGAUGGAAAGGGUUGGCUUACGAUAUUUCGGACGACCAACAAGACAUUACUCGAGGGAAAGGGAUGGUGGAUUCCUUGUUCCAAGCUCCCAUGAAUGAUGGAACUCACUAUGCCGUCAUGAGUUCCUAUGAAUACCUCAGCCAAGGUCUUAAAACGUAAGUACUCUCCCACUCUCCUAUACCGGAGCGUUAUCGAUUACCAUCUACCUCUUAUAUGAUGAUUAUAUAUAAUUUUAGGUACAAUUUGGACAACAACAUGGAUGGUUUCUACAUUGCUCCUGCAUUCAUGGACAAGCUUGUUGUUCACAUCACCAAGAACUUCAUGUCCCUCCCUAACAUUAAGGUUCCUCUAAUCUUGGGUAUUUGGGGAGGCAAAGGUCAAGGAAAAUCUUUCCAAUGUGAGCUUGUGUUUGCCAAGAUGGGUAUCAAGUGAGUUCCUGAUUUUCUUAUGUUACUCUUUUUUUUUUUUGAAGUAUUCUUAUUUUCUCGGUAUUUAAAUUUAGAUACGAGUAAUGUUUCUUCAAAUACAUGAAAAAGAAUUACCUAUAUUAAAUUAAAUUUAUUGAAUUAUUUUGAUAAUUAUGUUGAGUUUGGAUAAAAAUUUUGUUGAUUUAAUAAGGGAAGUCAUAAAUAUUGUUCCUUUAAGAAAAACAAAUAUUUUUAUUUUAAUAUAGUUAUAAAUAUAUUAAAGUAAUUAUAUUUUUUUAAUAUUGUUUACAAAUGAAUCUAUAUUAUAUAUUAAGUUUUUAAUUGAGAUGUCACGAAUUAAUCAAAUAUCAACUCGAGUAAUAACUAAAAUAUUACUACUUUACAGAAUGAAUUAUAUUAUUUUGAGGAUGUAUGUAUCAUUUUAUAUCUUUUAUAUAAAAAUAGAAAAAUAUGGAUUUAAAUUUAAAAUAUUAUAGUUUUCAAUAAAUUUUCUUAGGUCUAAUUUUGCUAUUAAACCUUGCGCAAGUUAUGGAUGUAGUACAUGUUCUUUAAUUUGGUCAUUUUUAGUUUUUCUACUUUUAGAAUUUGAAAAUUUUAGUCAUAACCAAAUGAUAACUAUUAAAUUUAUUAAGUUAAAUUCUGUUAUUUUUAAAUUUUGAUGUGUCAAACAUAUUAUCACGUAAUGUUAUGUUUAUUAUUUUCACAUAUUACUCACAAAAAAAUUAGUUAAUAGAUUUAAUGGUUGUUGUCUGCAUUAAAUCUAAAAUUUUAAAUUUAAAAAAAUAUAGUCACUAAGAAUAAUCUAAUUGGUGAAUUGGACUAAAUUUUAGGCAUAAUACAGGACUAAUUACAUAAUUUAACCAAAUAGAUUUAACUAUUGUUGUUGGGUUAAGAUUAAAAUUUUAAAACUUGAAAAGUAUAAGGGACUAAAAUUGAUCAAAUUAAAUUACAUGUAUUAAAUCCAUAAUUUAUACAAAAUACAAAGUCUAAUAACAAAAUUUGUCCAUUUUUCUUAUCAUUUCAUCUAAAAACUCGUUUAUCCUUUAUAUCAAUUUAUUUUAAAUAAAAUUAUUACAUAAUAUUGUUUUUAUUCAACAAUUAUGCUGUGAUAACUGAUAAAUUAUUAACAAUGAAUAACUUCCAGCCCCAUCAUGAUGAGUGCCGGAGAACUGGAAAGUGGAAACGCCGGUGAACCAGCCAAGUUGAUCAGGCAAAGGUACCGCGAAGCUGCCGACAUAAUCAAAAAGGGCAAAAUGUGCGCCCUCUUCAUUAACGAUCUCGAUGCUGGUGCCGGUCGUAUGGGAGGAACCACCCAAUACACCGUCAACAACCAGAUGGUUAAUGCUACCCUCAUGAACAUCGCCGAUAACCCCACCAACGUCCAGCUCCCCGGUAUGUACAACAAGGAAGAGAACCCCCGUGUCCCCAUUAUCGUCACUGGUAACGAUUUCUCCACACUGUAUGCUCCUCUCAUCCGUGACGGUCGUAUGGAGAAAUUUUACUGGGCACCAACUAGGGACGACCGUGUCGGUGUUUGCAAAGGUAUUUUCAGGACCGACGGCAUCCCAGAUGAAGACAUUGUUAAGCUCGUCGACACCUUCCCCGGCCAAUCCAUCGGUAACUCUCAUUAAUUUUUUUUUCACUAGGUUUAAUUAUUCUUACAGUUCCUAUACGCUUCACAAUUUGAAAUUUAGUCCUCCACUACUUACUUGAAAAUAUGUUAUUACGUGGGUUCAUUGUUUUCAGUGGCGGAACUACGUUAGAGCCAGAGGAGAUCCUGGCCACCAAAAUUUUGAAUUUUUUUUUAUUAAAUCCUUCAAAAAUUUUAAAAAUUUUAAUCAAGUUUUUCUUAAAGUUUUGAAAGUUUUAAAUAAACCCCAAAACUCAAUGACACGUUCUGUCACUGUUUCAAGUACGGAUCAUUCGAUUGAUAUAUUACGAUUAACAAUUGUUUUUCUUUUUGGAUUGAUAAAUUGUAGAUUUCUUCGGUGCCUUGAGGGCUCGGGUUUACGAUGACGAAGUGAGGAAAUGGAUCAGUGAUGUCGGAGUUGCAGGCGUAGGGAAGAAGUUAGUGAACUCAAGGGACGGACCUCCAACAUUUGAGCAACCGAAAAUGACCAUUGAAAAGCUAUUGGAAUAUGGAAACAUGCUUGUUGCUGAGCAAGAGAAUGUUAAGAGAGUCCAAUUGGCUGACAAAUACUUGAGUGAAGCUGCCCUUGGUGAAGCUAAUGAAGAUUCUAUCAACAGAGGAACUUUCUAUGGUUAGAUAGAUUACCCCCUUUCAUCUUUUCUCUUAACUCAAAUUCGGGUUUUGUAAAAUCGACCCGAACUCGAAUUUCUUUUUACAAUUUGACCCUAGUGACAAAGAAUGUUGUGUUUGUUGGCAGGC